rnacentral:rRNA from 1 species
GACGAACGCUGGCGGCGCGCCUAACACAUGCAAGUCGAACGAGCGAGAGAGAGCUUGCUUUCUCGAGCGAGUGGCGAACGGGUGAGUAACGCGUGAGGAACCUGCCUCAAAGAGGGGGACAACAGUUGGAAACGACUGCUAAUACCGCAUAAGCCUACAGGUCGGCAUCGACCAGAGGGAAAAGGAGCAAUCCGCUUUGAGAUGGCCUCGCGUCCGAUUAGCUAGUUGGUGAGGUAACGGCCCACCAAGGCGACGAUCGGUAGCCGGACUGAGAGGUUGAACGGCCACAUUGGGACUGAGACACGGCCCAGACUCCUACGGGAGGCAGCAGUGGGGAAUAUUGCACAAUGGGGGAAACCCUGAUGCAGCGACGCCGCGUGGAGGAAGAAGGUCUUCGGAUUGUAAACUCCUGUUGUUGAGGAAGAUAAUGACGGUACUCAACAAGGAAGUGACGGCUA